rnacentral:tRNA from 1 species
AGCAGCGUGGCUCAGUGGAAAGAGCACGGGCUUUGGAAUCACAGGUCAUGGGUUCAAAUCCCAGCUCUGCCA